AUAAUCUAUAUAACAAAACCUUUCCAUCUCUAAGAUUAUUUUUUUUAUUUUAGUCAUUACUUAAUCAUUUUUAACAAAAAUUUUUACAAAUUACACUUAAAAAUUUUCGUCUAAUUAGUCUUUUCCACUUUUAGUAGCUAAAUAUGAUGGUUUUAUGGAGUUAUAUUUUUAAGGUAAUUUUAACGUAAUAAUCGUGUGAAAGGGAUUCUUUUUUCUUUUUUGAUGAGAGUGGAAUGGGAAUUGUAAGGUUUUAGUGCAUUACCAGUUCAAUGUUCCCAUCCCAAAGAAAAAGUUGCAUGCAUUUAAUACCCUCUCCUAUAAAAGAGAGCUUGAGAAAUUUAGGAAGAAGAAGUCUUUAAACUCUAUAUUUGAGUUUUUGAAGAAAGGGAAUUAAGAAAAAGAAUGAAAGAGGGACAAGGAGAAGAAACGUGAAAGGAAAAGAGAGAAGAAGAUGAGUAAAAAAACAUUUUAAUCUCAGCCAUAGAUUUAUAAAAUCAAUGGUUAAAAAAAUAUUUUACAUUAAUUAAAGUAGAUUUCUCCUCACGUAUUACAGUAAGUAGUUUGUUUUUUUACCAAAAUUUGAGAAAUUUUAUUCUGCAAUUAAUAUCGUCAUAAGUCUAUUAUGAAAUUACUUUUGUAGUUAUAAUCACUCAUAUAACUCUUAAUAUAUAGAAAACAACAUACUUAAUGAGAUAGGAAUUGAGCAUAAAUUGCUAGGUCCUUCGGUAUCCAAAAGAAUGUUAUCUCCUAGGCUUCAUGCUUCUACGUCUGAUAAAUACUUUCAUUUCGUUAGUUCUUUAUCUAAUAUACUCUUGUUAUGAAUCUCUAUUAUAAAAAAAUUCCAAUUCCUUUGUAGGAUAUGAUGUGAAUUUUCAUAGAUUCUGUACGUUAGUGCUGGAGAAUUUAAAUUCCACAAUAGUAAUAGAUGAUUGUUUUAUACUUAUUUAAUUUUCAUAAAAAGUUAAUGCCAUAAAUGAUUUCUUAAUUAUAGUGAAAUGUUUAAUAUGAUAUCUAAACUUUAUAAAUCUCUAUAUGUGACACAUAAACUGUGAAUUUAUUAAUUAAUAUAGUAUUUGAAUAGCUAUUUAUCUCUUAUGUAUUGUUAUUUGAAAUUAACCACAAUAAAAAUAAGUAAUGCAUUAGUUAAUAAAUUUAUAAUUAAAAUAUUAUUAUUUAAGACAUUAACCUUUUUAUAAAUAUAUAUAAUGAAAACAUGUCAAUUUUUAAAUUCUUCUUGUGGAAUAUAAAAACUUCAUUAUCGGUAUAGAAAAAAUUGUUAAAAUAUACAACAUAAUUUUUUAAGAAAUAUGUAAAGAGUAACGUAAAAAUGAUGUAGACAUGCAUGACUAAAACAAACAUCGAUAAUCAAACAAGAUUCAUACAUUUAAGAGAAAAGCAAGGGAAUUUUGCUUCUAACUAAAACAAAUCCAAAUAAAGGAAAUUCUAUCUUGUUAAGAUUUUAUGAAAUCCCAUCAAAUUUGUUUGUAUUUAUAAUGGUUCUAAUAAAAGUUAUCUAGUAUGAUUUUACGAAAUCCAAUGAAAUAAAUGCUUUUUUGACUAGCAUUAAUUAGACUCUAAACAACAUACAACUCUCCUGCAAAAUUAAUCUAUAAUUAUUUUCGAUUGGAAAAGGAAAAGAUAUGUACGAAAGGGGAAGUAACAGAGUAUUGUGCAUUGUCUAACUCGAAGAAGAAAAGAAAGUAAUGGUGUCAUCUAUGGCAGUUGUGACCAUCAAUUAUUUAUUAUUCUUCUAUCUUUUGGAUUGAUUAUACUUUUGACAAAUUCUCUAACGAUUUGACCAUUAAUUAGUCCGAUCUUGCCUUAAUACAGUCGAAAUUAUCACAUUAAUCAUCAAUUAUUGUAAUUAAUUAAUGAAAAAAUAUUAUUAUGAAAAGUAAUUUUAACAAAUUCCUAGCACUAAUCCACCAUCCAAUUCUUUAUGUGGCUUUUAAUGAGAAAUUAUUAUAUAGUUCUUUCUUAUCACAUCUGUUGCAGACCUAACUAAACCAAAUCUGGAUACAGCGUGACAUUAAAACAUGUCAUAUUUAUCAACAUGCAUGAGUUUUCAUAUUUAUGAUAAUGCAUGUUGAGAUAGCUAAGUCGUUCUAACGACGUAUUAUACGUUGAUUGAUGAUUGGAUUUACAAUUGACGUACGUAAUAAAGAAAAGUAUAAACUCUAAUAUAAUAAUUUCUCCUAAUCGGGAUGGGACAGUAAAUUAACUUACAAUUUUGACAAAGCUGUCAAUAUUCCAUGGCCUGUUCGAAUUUAUGCAGCGUUUUGCUUAUUUAGUUUUUAGGACACUUUGAUUUGAUUUUCUUUUAUAUGACAGUAAGUGCUUCAACACCGGAAUUGCCCUACAUCAGAUUCAAUCUUCUUUAUCUCUUUGAUAUAUAAAUAUAUAUAUUUAUAUAUAUGUGUGUGUGUUUUACAUCAUAAAGAUUUGUUUGAUAGAGUUGGUGUUUUAAGGGCUAAUGAUCCUGCAAUAUUUGAUUCUAC
rnacentral:lncRNA from 1 species